GGCGGCAGGCCUAAAACAUGCAAGUCGAACGCCGUAGCAAUACGGAGUGGCAGACGGGUGAGUAACACGUGGGAACGUGCCUUUUGGUUCGGAACAACACAGGGCAAACUUGUGCUAAUACCGGAUAAGCCCUUACGGGGAAAGAUUUAUCGCCAAAAGAUCGGCCCGCGUCUGAUUAGCUAGUUGGUGGGGUAACGGCCCACCAAGGCUACGAUCAGUAGCUGGUCUGAGAGGAUGAUCAGCCACACUGGGACUGAGACACGGCCCAGACUCCUACGGGAGGCAGCAGUUAGGAAUCUUGGACAAUGGGCGCAAGCCUGAUCCAGCCAUGCCGCGUGAGUGAUGAAGGCCUUAGGGUUGUAAAGCUCUUUCAGCGGGGAAGAUAAUGACGGUNCCCGCANAAGAAGCCCCGGCUAACUUCGUGCCAGCAGCCGCGG
rnacentral:rRNA from 1 species